UACGUAGGGCGCAAGCGUUAUCCGGAAUUAUUGGGCGUAAAGAGCUCGUAGGCGGUUUGUCGCGUCUGCCGUGAAAGUCCGGGGCUCAACUCCGGGCCUGCAGCCGAUACGGGCAGACUAGAGUUCGGCAGGGGAGACUGGAAUUCCUGGUGUAGCGGUGAAAUGCGCAGAUAUCAGGAGGAACACCGGUGGCGAAGGCGGGUCUCUGGGCCGAUACUGACGCUGAGGAGCGAAAGCGUGGGGAGCGAACAGG
rnacentral:rRNA from 1 species